AUCACCAACACAAGCCUUCAAUUAAUCAGGAUAACCCGGAUAAUUGUAUCCAACAUAUAUUCCACAGAUGAAGUCCACUACAGUGGCACUGCUCAUUUUGAUGAACAUGAUGUUCACAAUUCCCUACUUUGGUCAUGCAAGUUCUCAAGGAAUUAAGGAUGAAGAAACCACCUUGCUCUCAAAGUCUUAUGCAAGCAGUGAUGGAACUAGCUUUGCAGGGGACAUGACUCUAGGAAGGAAGCUGAUGGCAGAAACCAGUAUUAAUUCAGCUGCUGUUUCCACUGAUUCAAGCCGCACAGUUUCUGUCACUUGGUACAACGACUUCAUAAGAAAUGCACGUCGUCCAUGACUGCUAUAUGAUCUAUAUAUACCGUAGCUUUGGUCUUAUAUUAAUGGCUGUGUUUCCUAAAGUCCUUAAAUGUACGUCUUCCAUGCAUAUAUAUCAGCAGGUUUGAUGGCCCUUGUGUCAUCGGAUUUUAUAUCCAUCUAAAUAAUCUCUAGGGCUCCAUCAAAUGUCAUGUAAUAGUCAUGUAAUAGUCAUGAGCAUAUUAAAUCAAUAAAGAUGUCUUGUGUGCUAGCU